ensembl:lncRNA
GGUAGCAGCAAGCAACAAGUCCCAGAGGAUAGUGUCUCUGACUAAUCUGUAUCAUGCUGCCAAUAACUGUUUUCCAUCCGAGCUUAGACUUCACACUGGUACACGAUCACACCUGAUACACCCUGUACUGACACAGUGGCUGGAGGUAAGAGCUGGCAGUGAAUAACUUUGCUGUUGUCAGAGCCUGUCUGAGCUUUGAAAAGACCGCUUUCCAUUUUCUUACUUCUUUCUACUUUGUUCUCUCUUGCCUUUUUUUAUUUUUUCCCGAGGUUGUGUUAGAUCUGUGAAUAGCAAUGAGAAACAGCCAUGGUGCAUCUCUCUGGAUCAGGAACUGUAGUGCUUUGAAAUUUAAUUACUUCGCAUUUAAAUGAGUGGGUAUCUGACGUGGCUUGCGCUAAGAGCAUUCCUGUUACAGAGCUCGUCCUCAGGCUGCUGAGCACGGAUUCUCUGGGGGGCUCUGACUGUCCCUGUCUCCAGGACAGACACCAGGGUGAGGGGACAGGGUCACAGCUUCUCUACAUCAAGAACGACGGCACUGUGCGAAGUUCUCCCACACUGUACUUCGACAGCAGCUGAUUUCUCUGUGUUACUCAUUAGGCAUAAAAAAAAGUAAGGUCUUGUCAUAAAAUAAUUACAUACAGAUUUCACUUGCAUGGGAUAAUGUACAGAUGAGUCUGCAGUCUCACAGGUUGAGUGGUAGAUAAGUGAGAGAUCAAUGCUUUUUGGUCUAUAUUGUCUGUGGGGAGAGACUUUAGUCAGCAUACGCUUCCUUGAUGUGCCUCAGCAGCACGUCGAACCCAUGCUACAAGUAAGCCGAAGAGCCCAUGAAACUCAUUGCCAAACCGAUGCAUCCAUUUGCCCACGUAGAGAAGAAAGGCUUCCUUCAGCCCCAGCGAAACCCGUGGCAGUUGUGCCAUUGAUGAAGAACGCGUGCACGGCGAGAGGGGGGCAGAGGAUUCAGCCCUCACGACUGCGUGCGGUGAGUUCCUCAACGGGAAAGGAACUAGCCUCCUUCAUCCACAAAUAUAUUUGCCGGUAUCUCUCCUAGGGUAAUUUAUCAAAGCUGCAUGUUCAGACUUUUAACAGCAGGUGCCUGAAAUGUAAGAUCACGCUUUUGGUCCAGUUUUUCUGAGAAAACAAGCGCUUCCAUGUAGCAGUAAACACCCCACGCGUGUUGCUUGUUCAGGCAACACAGGCAGCUCGAGUCUCAGGAUGUGGACAUUGAAAAAAAAUAUCUUCCACACCUCACAUUUUGGCUGCUGAUAGUAUGUGGCUGUUCUUUUACAAUUUCCUUCCUGCACAGGCAGCAAUCACUAAUUUUAGACUAGCUUACAUGUAAGAGUAACAUUUCAGGCUUGGAAACAGUUUGCUGCUUCUCAAGAACAAACCUACCACAUCUUGCCAGGUAAAAUGCUACUCAGUCAAUUUAAGUGACGACUGGCAGAUCUCUUGGUUUAAGAGGAGACGAGAACAGCACCCAGCUGUUCUGGUUUGAAGGCAUCCAGGACUAAAUGACAAAAUCGAUCGAUUUGUGCAGCAGCCGUUAGAGAAGCACCUACGGUGCCUCGGAAGAUUCAAAAGAAAAGUUAUAAUCUCCAGGUUUAGCAGCUUUACUGCAAGAAGUGAUAAAGUGUGUAAUUUUAGAUACCUAAUACCAGACAGGUUAGCAUUUACAUUAGCUUUGUAAGUCUAAUGAAAACGUGUUGAGUCUUGCUCUUACGAUUGUACAGACUUCAAUUUGGUAAUGCACAGUCAGAUGAUCUUUUUUCCUUUUAUUGUGAUGAUGUUGCCAUCAGCCUUACAAGAUACAUCCCCUGCAUAUAUUUGCUGCGACGCGCGUAGCCAGCUGAGCUACCCAGACCCGUUAAUUGCGCAGACUGCCCCGUGAACAGAAGUCACACGUAGUGCUACAUAGUUCAGAGGCUCCUCGGUGCUACUGCUUGUGAACGGAGACUCAGACCUACGUGCAGGUGCGACGGGUAGCCCGUGAUCACGCAGAGCUGUCCGUACGCUGCUCUGCAGGGCACCCACGGGGGUUUUUAAGCACC